GGAGGACAUGGGGUCUGUGCUAUCAAAACACUCAGGAGUCAACCUAGAUGCAAAGUCUGCAUCAGAGCCUGUAGACAAUAUGACCCCUAUCAAAAGUCCUAUUCAGGAGAACAUGAGUGAGACUGCUGAUGCCGAUGAUUUGGUCGAGGGGAUGCCUGAGUCUCUAGCAGACUACUCUGAACCGUCACCUUUCAGACAAGAGCAACCUGAGGAGACAGCAGACUCAUCCGAUGAGCACAUUGUUCUGACAAGCCCUGCUGAUGAGGAUGGUCCUAAAGUAACCUACACUGAAUGCAUCACAUGUGACGGAGAAGAAGCAGAGACGGCACUACAAGAACCAUCUGGUGAAGAUGCUCUUGGUGCUGUGGAAUCGCUGUUGGUUACUGUUGCAGAGGUACCUCAGACUGACACAUUGGAGGUAGACUGGACACUGGACACUGGACUGAACAGAGAAGAGGCAAAAGCUCAACAGCCAUCUGGUGAUGGAGCUCUUAGUGUCUCACCUGUUGUCAAUAAGGAGACGGAAUCACCUGUGGUCAAUGAGGAGACGGAUUCACCUGAGAAGGGAAGCUUCGUGUUAAAUCGUCCAUUUGAAUCCUCUGAAACUGAAACUUUUGAAAAGCUUGGAAUAGCAGAGAUUGUCGUCCCCCAGGACAUGGGGCUAGUUUCAGUAGGAUGUUCGAGAGACAUCACAGAAGGGUCUCUGUGUCAGUCAGCAGGAGACAGCAUAGACCACAGAGAGUCUUCUCCAACUGGGCCCAGUCUGAAGGCUACGAAUGAGAUCAUUGAGACAGACUAUCUGAGUUUGGUCACGGAGGCAUCUGAUCACGUGUCAGACAUCUUAGAACCAUCCCCUCUCAGAAAAGGUCUCUCUGAGGAGAGAAUGACUUCAGAGCUUUCAGUCGAUACACCUGCUCAGGUAUUCACUGCUAGUGAGGAAUAUCCAGGCGAAGUGGUCACCAUCUGUACAGGCCAUAUACCAUCCGCUAGAAUUCCCACUCAGGAAGAGGAUGUGAGUAUAUCAAGAGGAACAACAGACAGGGGGGCAUCCCCAAUCUUUUCCCCAAACACCUCUUCUGUGUCAGGUUGUGUGCAUGUCAGCACUCAGGUAUCAGACAUGAGUGUGGUGGUGACAGCCAGUGACACGCAGGGAAAUCAGAGCCCUGCCUCAAGCAACCAUCUCCCUGGGCCUCCCUGCUCUGCUGAGGAGCAGCAACAACACACUCCGGAUUCUGUGGCUGAAAGGGGAACUUUGACCCCAUUCAAUUCUCCUGUCCUCAAAGGCUCGGUCAAUCAGAUGUGGACUUUAUACGAUCUACACCACAGCAGUGAUGAGGGCACAUUUUGCACCAAUAUCCUGUCCCAGCCACCUUUCAAUGGCAGCGCUUACAUUCACGCCUUUGGGCCUGGCCAUGUUCUACUGGCUGAGAGGUCUCCUCAACACUCUCGUCUUGACCUACAUCAGGCAUCAGAAGGGCUUGUAGAGGGGACGACCCAGGCUUCUGACCUACAUCGACACAGAGCCCAAGACGUGGCCCCCACCACUGAGGCCGCUUGCUCAGUUCACCCUUCAGCAUCGCUCCGUGACACAGGCACUCAGGAAAUCAUCCUCCCCAAUUACCUGUUGUGCGUCGAUGACAAGCAGGCGACGCCUCUCAUGGGGGCCCCCGGGGGCCCCGCUCAGUCGGUGAGGGUGAGACGAGAUGACGCCUCGGGGCUCCUGUCCCUCACCUUCCCCUCGGCCGUCCUUGGUGGUGCUCAGAGGAGGGGUGGUCAGUCCCAGUUUAUGCAGAUCAGCACCGAUCAGGGCCACAGCGUCUACUCGCCCGCUGUGCUUCGGAUCGUCACAAACCCUGCUGACCAAAACUAAAUACAGAUUCACCCAGCUGAACUUCACCUACAUUUGCCAAUAAACCAGGCACACAAAUGCAUGAACAGAUUGUUGUCCAGGGUUUUUCACUCAGAAAUGUGUGUUCAAAUUCAGCAUAAUGAAAAGACAAUGAAGGAUAUAAAGUUGAUAUUAAGC
ensembl:lncRNA